AUUGAACGCUGGCGGCAGGCUUAACACAUGCAAGUCGAGCGGAGAUGAGGUGCCUGCACCCUAUCUUAGCGGCGGACGGGUGAGUAAUGCUUAGGAAUCUGCCUAUUAGUGGGGGACAACAUUCCGAAAGGAAUGCUAAUACCGCAUACGUCCUACGGGAGAAAGCAGGGGAGCUUCGGACCUUGCGCUAAUAGAUGAGCCUAAGUCGGAUUAGCUAGUUGGUGGGGUAAAGGCCUACCAAGGCGACGAUCUGUAGCGGGUCUGAGAGGAUGAUCCGCCACACUGGGACUGAGACACGGCCCAGACUCCUACGGGAGGCAGCAGUGGGGAAUAUUGGACAAUGGGGGGAACCCUGAUCCAGCCAUGCCGCGUGUGUGAAGAAGGCCUUAUGGUUGUAAAGCACUUUAAGCGAGGAGGAGGCUACUGAGACUAAUACUCUUGGAUAGUGGACGUUACUCGCAGAGUAAGCACCGGCUAACUCUGUGCCAGCCGCCGCAGUAACAC
rnacentral:rRNA from 1 species